UACGGGGGGAGCAAGCGUUGUUCGGAUUUACUGGGCGUAAAGGGCGCGUAGGCGGCCACGGCAAGUCGGCUGUGAAAUCUCCGGGCUUAACCCGGAAAGGUCAGCCGAUACUGCGGGGCUAGAGUGCAGAAGGGGCAACUGGAAUUCUCGGUGUAGCGGUGAAAUUCGUAGAUAUCGAGAGGAACACCGGUGGCGAAGGCGGCUUUCUGGACGAUUACUGACGCUGAGACGCGAAAGCGUGGGGAGCAAACAGG
rnacentral:rRNA from 1 species